GGGCCCGCACAAGCAGUGGAGUAUGUGGUUUAAUUCGAAGCAACGCGAAGAACCUUACCGGGGCUUGACAUCCCGCGCUAUUCCGGGAAACCGGGAGUUCCCUUUUCGGGACGCGGAGACAGGUGGUGCAUGGUUGUCGUCAGCUCGUGUCGUGAGAUGUUGGGUUAAGUCCCGCAACGAGCGCAACCCUUGUCGUCAGUUGCCAUCAUUAAGUUGGGCACUCUGACGAGACUGCCGGUGACAAAUCGGAGGAAGGUGGGGAUGACGUCAAAUCAUCAUGCCCUUUAUGUUCCGGGCUACACACGUACUACAAUGGCUGUUACAACGGGAAGCGAAGCCGCGAGGCGGAGCGAAUCCUACAAAAGCAGCCCCAGUUCGGAUUGCAGGCUGCAACUCGCCUGCAUGAAGUCGGAAUUGCUAGUAAUGGCAGGUCAGCAUACUGCCGUGAAUACGUUCCCGGGCCUU
rnacentral:rRNA from 1 species